AUGACUCUCAUCCAUUUCCUUCACUCGACUGGAAAAUUUGGUACAGCCAUUCAACUUUGUAUUUACUCCUCCUCUGUGUCUUUUUCUCAAAAAAGAGAUGAGUGGUCUUCAUCCCAAACAGAUACAUAAAACUGGACUUGGGGCUUGUAAAUACAAACAUAUGGUGAUAUAAAUGUCACCUCCAGCAGAAGAAUCUGAAACUUGGUGAAAGAUUACCAAGAUUUUUGUCUGCCUGAAACCCACUAGUCAUCCAGUGAAGACAACACCAAUAACCAAAGGCUGCAAACUGACAUCCUCCAGCAUCAAAGACUGUGCUGAUGAAUACCCUGAAAUUUGGUGCAGCCACUUACAAAUGUCCCACGGGCGUAUAUUUGAAUAAAAGCAAAGUCCGGACAGAAGAAACACUCCAUUUGUCCUGGGAGCCAUUCCCGUUGCUAUCUAUGGGCCCUUCCGGAAAGUUCAUGCUAGAAAGAGUUUUGAUUUCUUCCCUGCAAAUCUUGGCACGGUCUGUGACGAGCGUGGUGAAAGGUUUCACCAGGACAUCGUGGUCAUAGAGAAACGGUACCAGGCAACUGGAAUCCAUCAAUGCUGGCUGAUUAGUGUUGGACACUUAAAUGAGAAGCCUCAGAAUUGAGUACAAACAAAAAUCAUCAAUGAAACAUUUUUAUCUUAAUUGAACUAUUGCAAAGUGUCAGCACCAUUAUGCAAUUAAAUGCAUUAUAUUCAAUAAAAGUUAAUUUGCUAUUUCUCUGAAUUCCUAUAUUAUAUUAGUAAUCUGAAAUUAUAUUUGUGUUCAGCAUCAAGGAGUCUAAAUUCUUAGGAAGCAACACUUCCAUAAAAAUUUGUUGUGCAAUGUAAUUGAAGAAACAAGUGGAAACAAAGAUGGUGUGCAUAAACUUCUCAGAUCAAUGUCCAGUCCACUUAAACAUGAGACUCAUUUGUUUAGGCUAGUAAAGGCUAUGUUAUGGGAAAAUUGGACUAGCAGUUGCUGACAAUUUCAUUCCCAUUUGAAAAUAUAUAUUCCAUUUAUAUUUUUAUCUAAGUAAUCUUCUAGAAAUUUACAGAAUGAUUCUGAUCGCUUGGUAAGAUAGGUAUAACAAAGACUAAUGGAAAUUAAUCCAGAUAAAUGAGAAAUAAUUCUCUUUUCAAGGACAAAUAAAGGUAGAAAGAUGAACCCCUAAGGAAAAGAGGGUGUACAAGGAUCCCCAAAAAUGGAAGUUUAAGUAUAUAAAGGGAUGAAGAACAAUGCCUGCUUUAAUUAGCUUGGACAUAGAAUACAAGAUGAGAGGUUAUGCUUUAUUUGUCUUUAUUGUGCGGGAGAGAAUUACACAGCUUGUUCUAGUUUGAAAAAAAUCUAGCACUUUAGGUGGAGUCUGUGGUGUGGAGGAGGAUGAAAAAAAUAUAUUGCAAAAAAGAUGCUGUGUUGCUGAAAGAAGCAUGCUUUCCAUUCCACAAAAGUAGAUUGAAUUAUUCCAUUGUUGAUAUCAUCUAUCAGCUGAGCUUUGAGCUGAGUUUGCUUUCUGUCCAGCUCUUAUUAGUGUGUUAAAAUUUCUCAGUCUACAAAAUGUGCUUUUAUUGCAUAUUGGUAGCUUUUAA